UAGGGAUUUUUGAAGAAAAUGGAAUGGAACAACAUCUUCCUGCACCACAUAAUCAAGAGUUGCCUUGAAAUUUUGCACAAAGAUUGUGGCGUUCCUAUUGGGGAUAGGGUUGCAUUUGUAGGCUAAAAGAUUGGUCGAUCAUCUGUCUCUGCUCAUCUCUUCUCCCCCAACGGCAGCGGCUUCACGCAAGGCAUUCACGACGUUCAUCCUCAAUGGAGGGAUUGCGGGAAAGAAUGGAGGGAUUCUAUUUAACCUGUAAAAUCCGCCCAUAUUUUCCCAUCGACUAGUAGAGGCAAGAGCUACGGGGGAAGCAAGAGCACUAGGAGCAGAGACAGGGACGACAAUAGAGCAAUUGAUCCUAAAGCACCCAUUGAUUCAUAACCUCCAGAUCCAGAUGACUGGUUUAGAGUAAUGUCAUUUCAUGUAGGGGUUUUCCAGCUCCAGAUCGAGGGGUUUAAAGAUCUUGAAUAGUUUUGGAUGCCAUAGCCCAAGGCUCGAAUAAGAUACACCUCAGAAUAACUUCAAAGCUAGAAGUUGGUACUCCAUAAUGCUACUUUGCACAUUCGCAGACCAUUUAUAAUCUAGGAGGGGUAGUAGAGAGAAAGCAAAUAUAAGGAAAGCAAAUUGAACAAAUCAAGCACUUUGCAAAGAAAGGUUAUUCUACCUUGGCAAUUCUAUUAGGGAUAUUUUCUUGGUUUCUAUACAAAAUGGCAGACCAGGGAAAUAGCACAUCAUCAUCAUCUGAAUAUUAAGAUGAACGAGUAGCAAGACUUGCUCCAGGGACAGAUGAAUACUUCAAUGGAAUGGUAUAUUGCACUUGCAAUAGGUGCCAAAAUAAGAAACUAAAGAAGCAACGACUUGUUGGUAUCCAUAGAUUGAACUAUGGGGUUUAUAUAGAAGAGCCGCUUCCAGUUCACAAUAUUCCUGAAGAACCAACAGAUGUCACUGAUGAUAGCCACUCUCAAGAUGAAGAAGAAGACACAGUUAUGGAUGAAGACACUUCGUAGAUAAAUUAUCAAGAUUUCUAAGCAAUUAUCAUGAUUUAUAAGCUUCUAAAAAGUAAAAGUGGGUGAUGUCGGUGAGGCUCCUGCCCUCCCCUGUAACUUUGUGCCUAAGUCAUAUUCGGAUGAUCGGGUUGGUACACUUUGUUGAAAUGAUGAAUCAGUGAGGGCGGCUAUUCAUGCUGAGAAGCGAUGCCAAUUUUCUUGUUGCCUUCGACGAUGCCACAAACAAUGGAGUACAUAUCAUCUCUAUUUCAACAGGUCCUCUUCCUCCUCAACCAAGCUUUUUUGUUGAUAGCAUAUUGAUUUCAUCUUUCCAUGCCUUCAAAUAGGGAGUUUUUGUCUCUACAUCUACUAGAAACAGUGGAAUGCCAAACACCGCUACCAAUGUUGCUCCAUGGAUUUUCAUAGUUGCAGCCUCCUCCAUUGACAGGAGUUUCAAGUCUAAUGUACUUCUCAAAAGCAAUAUUACACUUCAGGGAGAAGCUGUAAAUCCUAUCACACAAAAUGGGUUCGCUAGCCUUGUCCUUGCAAGCAACUGUGCAGCCCCUAGUGUUUCUCAGACAAAUGCAAGGUCUUUGACAACAUAUGCUAAAGAGGGGAGAAAAUAGUCAUUGGUCAUGAAUCUGAGGAAGCCCAACAAUCAAAGUCAUCAGGUAGUGAGCAUGAAGAGGAGCUACAGGAACAUGAUGAAUUGUUUGUUACACAAAAUGAUUCCAUUGUCAUUCUUGAACCUCGACAGGAAACCGUACUUGAAUUUAAGCAAGUGGGAGACAAGAAUAAUGAUGAGGGUAUUCAAUGUGAUGAACAGUCCACAACCACAAUUAGAAUAGUGUAUCGUAGAAAGAGGACACAAAGGAAGAGGAUGGAUAGAAAAAAAUGAACAAAAGACAUAUUUGCUUCCUAUCAUUGUUCAAUUUUCAUUGCGAUUAUAAACCUAUUUGUAUCAUCAUACUUAUUUAAUGAAUACUUGUCAAUUUAUUCA